rnacentral:rRNA from 1 species
UAGGGAAUCUUCGGCAAUGGACGGAAGUCUGACCGAGCAACGCCGCGUGAGUGAAGAAGGUUUUCUGAUCGUAAAGCUCUGUUGUUAGAGAAGAACGUUGGUAGGAGUGGAAAAUCUACCAAGUGACGGUAACUAACCAGAAAGGGACGGCUAACUACGUGCCAGCAGCCGCGGUAAUACGUAGGUCCCGAGCGUUGUCCGGAUUUAUUGGGCGUAAAGCGAGCGCAGGCGGUUCUUUAAGUCUGAAGUUAAAGGCAGUGGCUUAACCAUUGUACGCUUUGGAAACUGGAGGACUUGAGUGCAGAAGGGGAGAGUGGAAUUCCAUGUGUAGCGGUGAAAUGCGUAGAUAUAUGGAGGAACACCGGUGGCGAAAGCGGCUCUCUGGUAUGUAACUGACGCUGAGGCUCGAAAGCGUGGGGAGCAAACAGG